AGGGCAUUCGCCAAGAGGUAAGGCACAGGAAUUUGACUCCUGUAUUCACUGGUUCGAAUCCAGUAUGCCCUG
rnacentral:tRNA from 1 species